GAUGAACGCUAGCUACAGGCUUAACACAUGCAAGUCGAGGGACCGGCGCACGGGUGAGUAACACGUAUCCAACCUGCCCUUUACUCGGGGAUAGCCUUUCGAAAGAAAGAUUAAUACCCGAUAUAAAGGAUGGGGAUGCGUUCCAUUAGGUUGUUGGUGCGGUAACGGCCCACCAAGCCUUCGAUGGAUAGGGGUUCGGAGAUGAAGGCACCCCACAAUUGAACUGAGACACGGUCCAAACGCGUACGGGAGGCAGCAGUGAGGAAAAUUGGGCAAUGGUCGGUAGCCUGAACCAGCCGAGUAGCGUGAAGGAUGAAGUGUUAUGGGUCGUAAACUACUGUUAUGUAAGAAUAUGUAUUAUAUGAAUAAGGAUCGGCAAAAUCCGUGCCAGCCGCCGCGGUAAUUC
rnacentral:rRNA from 1 species